rnacentral:rRNA from 1 species
UACAGAGGUGGCAAGCGUUGUUCGGAAUUACUGGGCGUAAAGGGCGCGUAGGCGGCCUUCUAAGUCAGACGUGAAAUCCCCAGGCUUAACUUGGGAACUGCGUCUGAUACUGGGAGGCUUGAGUGCGGGAGAGGGAUGUGGAAUUCCAGGUGUAGCGGUGAAAUGCGUAGAUAUCGGGAGGAACACCGGUGGCGAAGGCGGCACU